rnacentral:lncRNA from 9 species
AUGGCUGUCUGCCUGCCUGGGUGGGCUCUGUGCGCGCUGAGGUCCUGGGCUCCAAAGGACGUCGUAUGGCUCAGUUUACCUGGGUGCCACGUGCCACCUGGGAUGUUGUCUGGCCAGGGGUUGCUCUCCCAAAGCGGCACUUACCGCAGACACCGCAGUGACAGACAGAGACGCUUCCGCCUGGCAGCCCCGAGAGAACUCGCUGAGAGCCUUCCCGGUGGAACGCAUCAAGGCGGCUUCAUUCCUCGAACCUGGUGUCGGGGAGGCCUGCCCGCCCUCGCGCCGAACUGCAAAGGGCGGCUCGUCUCCCCAGGCCAGAAGGACCUUGCCCUCGCCCCAGGGGCCCAGAGCACAAAGCCGGUCCUCGGGGUGCUUGCCGUGCGGGGCGGGGGGGGGGGUUCCGCCCAGCACCCCCUCCGCCCCACCUCCGAGCCUGCUCCUGCCGCCUGGGCAGAGCGCACCUGGGGCGGCGAGGUCCUCUGGCGCCGCCUUGUGGACAUCUGCUCGAACAGCAAGUCCCAGGGGUUCCUCCUCGCUCUGGCUCAGCAGGCCCCCGGGGCUGCCUGGGGCCUGGGCCCUGGGCCCUGGGCCCGGGGCUGGGUGGGUUCUCUCCCUCCCCUUGAGGGAACUCCCAAGAAGAACCUGUCCAAGGGGGCUCCUUCUCGCUCAGAGGCUCUCAGAGCCCUCAGGCCCACCUGCCCCAAGCCCCUCCGUUCCACCCACAUCCCCCCACCCCCCGUCAGCUCCGGACCCAUCCUGUCAGGACAGGGUGGCCCUUGCUCAGACGGGCCUGCCCUGGGCUAUGGAGGGCCCCGCGCGCGUGUGUGUAUAUAUGGAGCUCUUGCUCUUGCCUUGCGUUUCCAAGUGGUAUUCCUUCGGUCGUCCAAUAAUAAACUCGUGAUUCUUUCCCUUCUGGUUUCGUUCUGGCUUCCUUGCUUCCUUCCUUCCUGUCCCCGUCCCCGUCCCCGUCCCUGUCCCUGUCCCUGUCUCUCCUUCCCUCGUUCUCUCUUGCUUUAUGGACCCCACCUGAGGCGAGCGUCGGUCGCCCGCCCUCGAGGGUCGGCCAGCCACAGAGGGUGCCAAGCUGGCCCCAGCGACCCAGACAGACCUUUUCCCCAGGGAGCCUGGAGGGACCUCCGGGAGGUCUUUCCUGCUCUCGUGCUACCGGCCUGCGAUGGCCCGAGCUGGCUCGAGAGCAGCUCUUCAUACCAGGUGUUUGGCCAGAACCAAAGCGGCUCACAGGGAAAGCCAAAGGCGGAGGUUCAGGAGACCUCCUGGGAGAAGGCACACCGGGAGGGGCGCGGCGGCUCACCCCGCUGUCACCUCUGUCCCGCCUUCCCUGCACGACGCGCAGUCACCCGACCCGGGCCCCAAAGCCCAGGUCGGGAUGGGGCUUCCCUAUUCCCAGCUCAACCACGGAAACAACCCAGCCCCCAGGAAAUAAGUGAGUAAAGAAGCACAGAAACACACCCGACACCCCGGUCGAAAAAUGGACCCGGGGCCUGAGGAGGCAUUUCCCUCCACCCGAUAUCCAGAGGGCACCAGGCCCCGCAAAACCCUCGCACCCUCACGCAUCCGGAGAGACACGCAGAUCACCUCGGCGCUGAGGAAACACAGCAAGCCGAGACGUGGAAACAAGCGCCGCGUCCAUCGACAGAGGAAGGGAUGAUGACGACGUGGCACGUAUACAACAUGGAAUACGGCGCAGCCCCAGAAACCCCCCGCACCCCCCCCCCGCCGCCGCCCCCGUCACCGCCCCCGCCAGAGGCCAUUCGCAGCCACGCAGAUGGCACCAGAGAGUGGCUGGCUAGAACCUCUGCGACCUUUCCACCAAAAGGAAGAUCUUGGACUGCAGGACAGACCUGUGGGGGCCGGCGUGGAGGUGGAGGGUGUGAGCAGGCCUGGGGUUUGGGGGUCCCUAGAGGCAGCCUCUCGCACUUGGCGUGUGGAAGCAGUGAGGUGCUGCUCUAGAGGUCAGGGAACAACAUCGAGCCCCCUUCUUUGCAACGAGGUUGAGGAUAACGUGAGAAAAAUGACAGGUAUACGUCCCGGCCCGACUGGAUCCCGUUGCUGUGUACGGGAAAGAGAGCCCUUUAAAUCUGCUCAAAUCGAAGUAUAAAUGGGAUAAGGAGAGAGACGAAGAAGAACAAGAGGGAGAAGAAGGAGCAGGAAAUAACAAAGAAGACGGAGGAAAAACAAAACCCUUUAGCGACGCGGCGCGGACCAGAGUAGGAGAUGGCCAGCAGCAUCUGGCCGGGAAUCGAACGCCGGCCGCUGCUCUGACAAGCCCAGGCCCCUCCUGAAAACCCUCUGCCAGCGGAGGUGUCGUGCCCGGAGGCCCCUUCUUACUGCCUUCGCUACCCAUAACCUCGGCUCCUCCGCAGGCAUGGCUGUCUGCCUGCCUGGGUGGGCUCUGUGCGCGCUGAGGUCCUGGGCUCCAAAGGACGUCGUAUGGCUCAGUUUACCUGGGUGCCACGUGCCACCUGGGAUGUUGUCUGGCCAGGGGUUGCUCUCCCAAAGCGGCACUUACCGCAGACACCGCAGUGACAGACAGAGACGCUUCCGCCUGGCAGCCCCGAGAGAACUCGCUGAGAGCCUUCCCGGUGGAACGCAUCAAGGCGGCUUCAUUCCUCGAACCUGGUGUCGGGGAGGCCUGCCCGCCCUCGCGCCGAACUGCAAAGGGCGGCUCGUCUCCCCAGGCCAGAAGGACCUUGCCCUCGCCCCAGGGGCCCAGAGCACAAAGCCGGUCCUCGGGGUGCUUGCCGUGCGGGGCGGGGGGGGGGUUCCGCCCAGCACCCCCUCCGCCCCACCUCCGAGCCUGCUCCUGCCGCCUGGGCAGAGCGCACCUGGGGCGGCGAGGUCCUCUGGCGCCGCCUUGUGGACAUCUGCUCGAACAGCAAGUCCCAGGGGUUCCUCCUCGCUCUGGCUCAGCAGGCCCCCGGGGCUGCCUGGGGCCUGGGCCCUGGGCCCUGGGCCCGGGGCUGGGUGGGUUCUCUCCCUCCCCUUGAGGGAACUCCCAAGAAGAACCUGUCCAAGGGGGCUCCUUCUCGCUCAGAGGCUCUCAGAGCCCUCAGGCCCACCUGCCCCAAGCCCCUCCGUUCCACCCACACCCCCCCCCCCCGUCAGCUCCGGACCCAUCCUGUCAGACAGGGUGGCCCUUGCUCAGACGGGCCUGCCCUGGGCUAUGGAGGGCCCCGCGCGCGUGUGUGUAUAUAUGGAGCUCUUGCUCUUGCCUUGCGUUUCCAAGUGGUAUUCCUUCGGUCGUCCAAUAAUAAACUCGUGAUUCUUUCCCUUCUGGUUUCGUUCUGGCUUCCUUGCUUCCUUCCUUCCUGUCCCCGUCCCCGUCCCUGUCCCUGUCCCUGUCUCUCCUUCCCUCGUUCUCUCUUGCUUUAUGGACCCCACCUGAGGCGAGCGUCGGUCGCCCGCCCUCGAGGGUCGGCCAGCCACAGAGGGUGCCAAGCUGGCCCCAGCGACCCAGACAGACCUUUUCCCCAGGGAGCCUGGAGGGACCUCCGGGAGGUCUUUCCUGCUCUCGUGCUACCGGCCUGCGAUCGCCCGAGCUGGCUCGAGAGCAGCUCUUCAUACCAGGUGUUUGGCCAGAACCAAAGCGGCUCACAGGGAAAGCCAAAGGCGGAGGUUCAGGAGACCUCCUGGGAGAAGGCACACCGGGAGGGGCGCGGCGGCUCACCCCGCUGUCACCUCUGUCCCGCCUUCCCUGCACGACGCGCAGUCACCCGACCCGGGCCCCAAAGCCCAGGUCGGGAUGGGGCUUCCCUAUUCCCAGCUCAACCACGGAAACAACCCAGCCCCCAGGAAAUAAGUGAGUAAAGAAGCACAGAAACACACCCGACACCCCGGUCGAAAAAUGGACCCGGGGCCUGAGGAGGCAUUUCCCUCCACCCGAUAUCCAGAGGGCACCAGGCCCCGCAAAACCCUCGCACCCUCACGCAUCCGGAGAGACACGCAGAUCACCUCGGCGCUGAGGAAACACAGCAAGCCGAGACGUGGAAACAAGCGCCGCGUCCAUCGACAGAGGAAGGGAUGAUGACGACGUGGCACGUAUACAACAUGGAAUACGGCGCAGCCCCAGAAACCCCCCGCACCCCCCCCCGCCGCCGCCCCCGUCACCGCCCCCGCCAGAGGCCAUUCGCAGCCACGCAGAUGGCACCAGAGAGUGGCUGGCUAGAACCUCUGCGACCUUUCCACCAAAAGGAAGAUCUUGGACUGCAGGACAGACCUGUGGGGGCCGGCGUGGAGGUGGAGGGUGUGAGCAGGCCUGGGGUUUGGGGGUCCCUAGAGGCAGCCUCUCGCACUUGGCGUGUGGAAGCAGUGAGGUGCUGCUCUAGAGGUCAGGGAACAACAUCGAGCCCCCUUCUUUGCAACGAGGUUGAGGAUAACGUGAGAAAAAUGACAGGUAUACGUCCCGGCCCGACUGGAUCCCGUUGCUGUGUACGGGAAAGAGAGCCCUUUAAAUCUGCUCAAAUCGAAGUAUAAAUGGGAUAAGGAGAGAGACGAAGAAGAACAAGAGGGAGAAGAAGGAGCAGGAAAU